AGAGCGAGGUUCGGAGAAGCGGUGGUGGUUUCCAUGUGACGGUGGAGGAAGAGGCAGGUCUUGGAGGUCAUUUACCAUGAUGUCCUCCAGGUUCAACAGUGUGGCUCCAAAUGAUGAAAUUUCAUUCUGUUUUUCUGGCUGAAGAAUAUUCUAUUCGUGUACAUCCACCACAGUUACUUUAUCCUUUCAUCUGUGGAUGGACAGGUUUUUCCACAUGGCUGCAAAUGACUAGAUUUCACCCAUUUCUAUGGUUGAAGAAUAUUCCGUUCUGGAUGAACAUUGCAGUUUCCUCAUCCCUUCAUCAAUGGAUGAAAAGAUGGAGUUUGCUGUGUCGCCUAGGCUGGAGUGCAGUGGCAUGAUCUCAGCUCACUCCAACCUCUGCCUCCCAGGUUCAAACAAUUCUCCUGCCUCAGCCUCCUGAGUAACUGGGAUUAUAGGUGUUCGCCACCAUGCCCAGCUAAUUUUUUGUCAUUUUAGUAGAGAAGAGGUUUCACCAUGUUGGCCAGGCUGGUCUUGAACUCCUGAACUCAGAUGAUUAACCCGCCUCAGCCUCCCAAAGUGCUGGGAUUACAAGCAUGAACCACUGUGCCUGGCCAGAUUUAUCUUCAUAGUAGCACUAUACUGUUUAUUUACUGUAACAUUGUAAUAAGAAUGUAUAUUUUUAGUAUAAGCCAUUGAAUUAUUUUUCAAAUUUUGUUGUGUAUAUUUGAUUUUCUUUGGACAUUAAUAUUUUAUAAAGAGCUUGUCGGUUUCUAUUUUAAAAGGUAGUUGGGAAUUUGAAUUGAAUCUGUAAAUGUUUUGUUAUUUUUAUCUAAAUACGAAAUAUUGUUAUCCCAAAACAUUGACUGGCUCUCAAUCUAUUCAAUUUUUCUUCAAUUUAUUUCAUUAUUUAAAAUAUUUUAUUUCAUCAUUUAAAAUAUUUUAGUGUAAAGAACUUAUGUUUGUCUUGUACUUCUGGUGUUAAUUAUUAAGUUUUUAGUGAAUUUGUCACAUUUUUAUGUAGAAGAGCAUGUAUUGUGUAAUACAAUUUUUUUUUUUUGUCUAAUCUGGAUAAUUUUGCUUAUUUUUCUAGUAUGAUUUUCUUGGAUAAUACCUCUAGUACAAUGUUGAUUAAAUUGGUUUAAUACGAAAUUCUUGUCUUGUUUCCAAGCUUAUAAAUAAUGCUCUCAUUCUUUUACUAUUAUGUAUGUUAGCUCUAGGUUUUAAUAGAUGAUUUUAAGCAGGACUGAGAUGUCUAUAUUAGUAGUUAGCUGUGAGUCUUAUUCCAAAUUGAUAUUGGAUUUCUUAAGUCUUUUUCUAUGUCUGUUAAAAUAAUCAUUUCCCCUUUAUUAAAGUAAUAUUAUGCAAUACUUUAAAUUUUGAAUAUUUUGCCAACAUUGCAUUUUUGAAAAUAUCUUACUUUGUCAUAGUAUAUAAUCCUUUUUAUAUGUUGUUGGAUUCAGUUAGUAGUUUUGAUAAUUUAUGUGUCUAUAUUCAUAUAACAUAUUGGUUCAUGGUUUUUUUACUUGUGAUUUUUUUGUAUUUUUUUAAAUCAUGCUAAUACUAAUAGAUGGAUUGGGAAAUGUUACCUUUUCUUAUAUUGCUGGGAGUUUUUGUAUAUAAUUUGCAUUAAUUCUUCAUUAAAAGCUCAUGUAAUUUACCA
ensembl:lncRNA